rnacentral:rRNA from 1 species
AUACAGAGGGUGCGAGCGUUAAUCGGAAUUACUGGGCGUAAAGCGCGCGUAGGCGGUUACUUAAGUCAGAUGUGAAAUCCCCGGGCUCAACCUGGGAACUGCAUCUGAUACUGGGUAGCUAGAGUUUAGGAGAGGGAAGUAGAAUUUCAGGUGUAGCGGUGAAAUGCAUAGAGAUCUGAAGGAAUACCAGUGGUGAAGGCGGCUUCCUGGCCUAAAACUGACGCUGAGGUGCGAAAGCGUGGGUAGCAAACGGGAUUAGAUACCCCAGUAGUCC